GGGACACGUGGUAUCCUGUCUGAAUAUGGGGGGACCAUCCUCCAAGGCUAAAUACUCCUGACUGACCGAUAGUGAACCAGUACCGUGAGGGAAAGGCGAAAAGAACCCCGGCGAGGGGAGUGAAAAAGAACCUGAAACCGUGUACGUACAAGCAGUGGGAGCACGCUUAGGCGUGUGACUGCGUACCUUUUGUAUAAUGGGUCAGCGACUUAUAUUCUGUAGCAAGGUUAACCGAAUAGGGGAGCCGAAGGGAAACCGAGUCUUAACUGGGCGUUAAGUUGCAGGGUAUAGACCCGAAACCCGGUGAUCUAGCCAUGGGCAGGUUGAAGGUUGGGUAACACUAACUGGAGGACCGAACCGACUAAUGUUGAAAAAUUAGCGGAUGACUUGUGGCUGGGGGUGAAAGGCCAAUCAAACCGGGAGAUAGCUGGUUCUCCCCGAAAGCUAUUUAGGUAGCGCCUCGUGAAUUCAUCUCCGGGGGUAGAGCACUGUUUCGGCAAGGGGGUCAUCCCGACUUACCAACCCGAUGCAAACUGCGAAUACCGGAGAAUGUUAUCACGGGAGACACACGGCGGGUGCUAACGUCCGUCGUGAAGAGGGAAACAACCCAGACCGCCAGCUAAGGUCCCAAAGUCAUGGUUAAGUGGGAAACGAUGUGGGAAGGCCCAGACAGCCAGGAUGUUGGCUUAGAAGCAGCCAUCAUUUAAAGAAAGCGUAAUAGCUCACUGGUCGAGUCGGCCUGCGCGGAAGAUGUAACGGGGCUAAACCAUGCACCGAAGCUGCGGCAGCGACGCUGAUGCGUUGUUGGGUAGGGGAGCGUUCUGUAAGCCUGCGAAGGUGUGCUGUGAGGCAUGCUGGAGGUAUCAGAAGUGCGAAUGCUGACAUAAGUAACGAUAAAGCGGGUGAAAAGCCCGCUCGCCGGAAGACCAAGGGUUCCUGUCCAACGUUAAUCGGGGCAGGGUGAGUCGACCCCUAAGGCGAGGCCGAAAGGCGUAGUCGAUGGGAAACAGGUUAAUAUUCCUGUACUUGGUGUUACUGCGAAGGGGGGACGGAGAAGGCUAUGUUGGCCGGGCGACGGUUGUCCCGGUUUAAGCGUGUAGGCUGGUUUUCCAGGCAAAUCCGGAAAAUCAAGGCUGAGGCGUGAUGACGAGGCACUACGGUGCUGAAGCAACAAAUGCCCUGCUUCCAGGAAAAGCCUCUAAGCAUCAGGUAACAUCAAAUCGUACCCCAAACCGACACAGGUGGUCAGGUAGAGAAUACCAAGGCGCUUGAGAGAACUCGGGUGAAGGAACUAGGCAAAAUGGUGCCGUAACUUCGGGAGAAGGCACGCUGAUAUGUAGGUGAAGUCCCUCGCGGAUGGAGCUGAAAUCAGUCGAAGAUACCAGCUGGCUGCAACUGUUUAUUAAAAACACAGCACUGUGCAAACACGAAAGUGGACGUAUACGGUGUGACGCCUGCCCGGUGCCGGAAGGUUAAUUGAUGGGGUUAGCGCAAGCGAAGCUCUUGAUCGAAGCCCCGGUAAACGGCGGCCGUAACUAUAACGGUCCUAAGGUAGCGAAAUUCCUUGUCGGGUAAGUUCCGACCUGCACGAAUGGCGUAAUGAUGGCCAGGCUGUCUCCACCCGAGACUCAGUGAAAUUGAACUCGCUGUGAAGAUGCAGUGUACCCGCGGCAAGACGGAAAGACCCCGUGAACCUUUACUAUAGCUUGACACUGAACAUUGAGCCUUGAUGUGUAGGAUAGGUGGGAGGCUUAGAAGUGUGGACGCCAGUCUGCAUGGAGCCGACCUUGAAAUACCACCCUUUAAUGUUUGAUGUUCUAACGUUGACCCGUAAUCCGGGUUGCGGACAGUGUCUGGUGGGUAGUUUGACUGGGGCGGUCUCCUCCUAAAGAGUAACGGAGGAGCACGAAGGUUGGCUAAUCCUGGUCGGACAUCAGGAGGUUAGUGCAAUGGCAUAAGCCAGCUUGACUGCGAGCGUGACGGCGCGAGCAGGUGCGAAAGCAGGUCAUAGUGAUCCGGUGGUUCUGAAUGGAAGGGCCAUCGCUCAACGGAUAAAAGGUACUCCGGGGAUAACAGGCUGAUACCGCCCAAGAGUUCAUAUCGACGGCGGUGUUUGGCACCUCGAUGUCGGCUCAUCACAUCCUGGGGCUGAAGUAGGUCCCAAGGGUAUGGCUGUUCGCCAUUUAAAGUGGUACGCGAGCUGGGUUUAGAACGUCGUGAGACAGUUCGGUCCCUAUCUGCCGUGGGCGCUGGAGAACUGAGGGGGGCUGCUCCUAGUACGAGAGGACCGGAGUGGACGCAUCACUGGUGUUCGGGUUGUCAUGCCAAUGGCACUGCCCGGUAGCUAAAUGCGGAAGAGAUAAGUGCUGAAAGCAUCUAAGCACGAAACUUGCC
rnacentral:rRNA from 1 species